UCUCCGUUGGUGAACCAGCGGAGGGAUCAUUAUCGAGUUUAUAACUCCCAAACCCUAUGUGAACUUACCACUUGUUGCUUCGGCGCGCGCUUCGGCGCCGCCGAGGACACUUAAACUCUUUGUUUUUAUAAGCAUUUCUGAGUGGCCGAAAGGCAAAAUACAAAUGAAUCAAAACUUUCAACAACGGAUCUCUUGGUCCUG
rnacentral:misc_RNA from 1 species